AUUGAACGCUGGCGGCAGGCCUAACACAUGCAAGUCGAACGGUAACAGGAAACAGCUUGCUGUUUCGCUGACGAGUGGCGGACGGGUGAGUAAUGUCUGGGAAACUGCCUGAUGGAGGGGGAUAACUACUGGAAACGGUAGCUAAUACCGCAUAACGUCGCAAGACCAAAGAGGGGGACCUUCGGGCCUCUUGCCAUCGGAUGUGCCCAGAUGGGAUUAGCUAGUAGGUGGGGUAACGGCUCACCUAGGCGACGAUCCCUAGCUGGUCUGAGUGGAUGACCAGCCACACUGGAACUGAGACACGGUCCAGACUCCUACGGGAGGCAGCAGUGGGGAAUAUUGCACAAUGGGCGCAAGCCUGAUGCAGCCAUGCCGCGUGUAUGAAGAAGGCCUUCGGGUUGUAAAGUACUUUCAGCGGGGAUGAAGGGAGUAAAGUUAAUACCUUUGCUCAUUGACGUUACCCGCAGAAGAAGCACCGGCUAACUCCGUG
rnacentral:rRNA from 1 species